AGAGUUUGAUCCUGGCUCAGGAUAAACGCUGGCGGCGUGCCUAACACAUGCAAGUCGAACGCCCUUGCGAAAGCGAGGGAGUGGCGGACGGGUGAGUAACGCGUGGGUGAACCUACCCCGAAGUGAGGAAUACCACCGGGAAACCGGUGACAAGACCGCAUAAGCUUUGAGAGAAGGAAAGCUUCGAAAGAGGCGCUUUG
rnacentral:rRNA from 1 species